rnacentral:rRNA from 1 species
ACUGCUCAGUAACACGUGGCUAAUCUGCCCUUAGGACGAGAACAACCCCGGGAAACUGGGGCUAACUCUCGAUAGGCGAAGAACACUGGAAUGUGUCUUCACCCAAAUAGUGCAAGGUAAUGCUCUUUGCAUCGCCUAAGGAUGAGGCCGCGGCCGAUCAGGUUGUUGGUGAGGUAAUGGCUCACCAAGCCUUUUACCGGUGCGGGCCGUGGGAGCGGGAGCCCGGAGAUGGGUACUGAGACAAGGACCCAGGCCCUACGGGGCGCAGCAGUCGCGAAAACUUUGCAAUAGGCGAAAGCCUGACAGGGCUAUCCCGAGUGCCAUCCGCUGAGGAAGGCUUUUACCCAGUCUAGAACGCUGGGGGAAUAAGGAGAGGGCAAGUCUGGUGUCAGCCGCCGCGGUAAUACCAGCUCUCCGAGUGGUGUGGAUGUUUAUUGGGCCUAAAGCAUCCGUAGCUGGCUAAGUUAGUCCCUUGUUAAAUCCACCGAAUUAAUCGUUGGAUUGCGGGGGAUACUGCUUGGCUAGGGGACGAGAGAGGCAGACGGUAUUUUCGGGGUAGGGGUGAAAUCCUAUAAUCCCGGGAAGACCACCAGUGGCGAAGGCUGUCUGCUAGAACGCGCCCGACGGUGAGGGAUGAAAGCUGGGGGAGCGAACCGGAUUAGAUACCCGGGUAGUCCCAGCUGUAAACGAUGCAGGCUAGGUGUUUAGACGGCCACGUGCCGUUCUAGUGCCGCAGGGAAGCUGUUAAGCCUGCCGCCUGGGGAGUACGAUCGCAAGAUUGAAACUUAAAGGAAUUGGCGGGGGAGCAC